rnacentral:lncRNA from 1 species
CUUUAGUAAUACAUAUUUGUAAGUACAUGUUUACUUUUCUAGUGUAGAGUUGGUACAUGUACAUAAUACAUCUUAAUUCCUUUUUUCUCUGUGUUCUCAAAAGGACAUGAACAUAUAUGCAUUAAUAUUUAUUUUUGAAGAAUACACAUGAAACUGCUUAGUGGUUAUUGCUACGGAGCAAGAGGACUGGUCUGUCUGCUGUCGCUACCUGUUGGUGGAAAGACAGAACUGGCACCGAGGUGUUUGAGAAGUUGGUCUGGCAGCCUUGGUAUCAUGGAUGUGAUGCAGCAAGCAAGCUCACCUGUGCAUCUGCCCUGCUUGGCAGGGAAAGCAGAGAAAGGAGAGGCAGACAAACAUUGUUGAGGUCCCCAAAGAAGCUUACUGUUAUAAGGACCUUCAGGAUUAAAUCCUUUGCACAACCCAGUCACCACCUGCAUUUUAUUUGUUUAGAGAAAAUACCUGUAUUGCAGGUUACAAAAGAUCUCAACCUGGACUGCAUAUUGAAAACACACACACACACACACACACACACACACACACACACACACACACACACACACCUUGGACACACUACACUGCUGCGCGGCCUUCAUUCCCAGAGAUUCUCACUGACUUUGUCAUCAGGAAUUUUAAAAGAUACAGAACGUGGUCUAGAGCAAGAAUUUUCUGACAAAAGAAAACUGAGACCCCAUUUUACCCUCCUGUUGCAAUAGGGACUCUUGAAGGACUUCUGCUGUGUGGAUUAUAAAAGCACAUGUGUGUUAUGUGUAUCCAUGAUAGGCUGUUAAGGAGAGUGCAAGAGUGGGUUGAGAGUGAAGAAAGCGUGGUGUGGACAACUCUGUCAUGCAGGUCUGGUUGAGGUUUGGAUCUUUUGUGACCUCCACAGAAGAUCUGGUUCCCCGUCCAUGAUGCUACUGGGAGGGUACCUUUAGAAGGUGGAGCUUACUGGGAGGAAGUUAGAGUGUGUGCCCUUGAAGCAGGCAUUAGGACCUUGGUCUUUUCUCUCUUUCUUCCUGGCUGCCAUGAGUGAAGCAGUUUCUUCUGAUGUGUUCUUGCCAUAAUGUUCCACCUUGCCACAGCCAAUAGUACCAAGCUACCAUGGACUGAAAUCUCUGAAAUCACGAGUAAAAAUAAACUUUUCCUUUUUAUAAGUUAUCUUGGGUAUUUUGUUACAGUAGUGGAAAACUAAGUACUUAAAAGUAUCUACUAUAUACAAGGCACUGGACACCUAGAGAUGAGAAGGACCCAAUUGCUGCCUUGACAGAGUAUAGACCCCAGAUAACUAGAGACCAUGGAGAAGCUGUCAUUAUGCCUAUUUUUGGAACUAAAACUACUUUGAUGGAGGCCCAUAAGUGGAGGACACCAUGCAGAAUAACACACGGGGAACCUCAGAUAAGUAGAACAGGAACCCUGCACUUGUUGCAGUGGUGUAGAUCAACACCAUAGUUGAAUUAGAAUGUGAGAAAUGCCAGAAAAUAGUGACCAAAUGCCUUGGAGGUUUAAAGGGGAGCAAGUACUUGCAGUCUGUAUGCAGUGCAGGGGUUGGUUUCAGGGAACAUUUUCCCCCCUUUUAUCAUUCAUUCCACCCAGUACAUUGCUGUACUCCAAGCACUAUGCCUGGUGCUGGGGUGUAAUGAAAAUGAACCCCAGCCACUCAGCAACCUUUGGUCAAGUGGAGUGGAAGAACAAUAAGAACAGUAUUUCUUUAAUUUUAGAUAUCUUCCAUUGUGAGUUGUGAUGAUUUUGGAGAUGAUAAAAUUUGGGAAAAGAUGUAUUUUAUAAUUAUUGACAUAAAAUAGUCAUAGAUAAUCCAAACAAUUGACAACGCCUUGUCCUAGAUGCUUGCAUAUAAAAGGCAAUUAUAUGCAGUAAACAGCUUGCUCUCCAUAGUUCCUGGGAAAUGUGAAUGAAUGAGGAAAUGAAUGAAUGAAUACCGGAAAAAUAAAUCCUCUGUCCUCUGCCUUAGACAAUCUGGAGAAGACUGUUCCUUGCCUAAAAGUCCAUACAAAUGGUAAUUUCAAAACUUUCAUAUUGUCAAGGAAACCACUCAGAGAUGGAUAGCUGUGGGAUGGACUCAUUUCUCAUAAGUCCUAAGAACCAGGAUUUUAAAUGAUUAGCACUGGAGGUGGAGAGAGAAGCUGCAAAGAACAGAAAAACAUAACCCUUUUAAAUUAUUACCCAGAGUGCUAAUUUCAUGUUGAAAGUGGUUGGUGUUGCAAUUUGUGGGAACCUUAGAAAUGUAUGAUCCAUUAAUUACAGUUUUAAUUUGGUUAUAAGGUCGCAGAUAAUUGGAAUUCUUGUGUUGGAACCCAAAAGUCCUUUUUCAAAAAUGGCCCUUUGAGUGAAUUCUUACAUACAAUACAUUUUGAGAAUUAGUGGUUUACACCUGGUCUCUGAAAAUAAAGAAUCAUAUUUGCAGCAUAUACUAGUGGGGACACCUAAGUAGGGACUGGGGUUUUGAGGGCGGCUAACAACUUACCCAAAUUGCUUUAUUGGUUGUGACAGUUUAUUUUGUCAAUGUGACUGGAUUGAGAGACACACUUCUAGGUGUGUCCCGGGGGAUGUUUCCAGAGAGGAUUGGCAUGUGUGCCUACAAACUGAGGGGUGAACCCUGCCCUCAUUGUGGGUGGCAACAUGCAGUUGGCUUGCAGCCUGGGUGGAGUGGAAAGGGGGAAGAAGGCAGAAGUUGAUCUGUAGCUGUCAUUGCCUAUGGACACCAGAUUCCAGUUUCUUCAGCCUUUUAUUGGUGAACUCACAUAAGCUACUCUUCUGGGAACUUCCAGUUCUUCAGCCUCAAUUCUUCAGCUACAUCCCUGGUCCCUAUUGUUCUGAGGCUUCCAACUUUUUGAACUAAGGAACUACUGGGCCCUCUGGCUCUCUAGUGUGCAGAUGGCCAUUUUGAACUCUCCAGCCUCUGAUUCUUGUUUGUUUGCUUUUUUGUGGUACCGGGGAUUGAACUCAGGUCCUUGUGCUUGUCAGGCAGGCCACCGAACCACUGAGCUGAAUCCCUGGCCCCCAGCCUCUGAUUCUAUAAGAAAAUUUAAUAAAUCCCCUUUAAUAAUUGUGCUGCUAUAAACUUGGGUAUGCAUGGAUCACUGUAAUGCAAUGUCUUUAACUCUCUUUUUGGCACUGGGGAUCAAACUUGGGACUUUGCACUUGUGAGGCAGGCAGCGGAACCACUGAGCUAAAUCCCCAGUCCCAAUGUGUUUAACUCUUGGGAAGAUUCCUAGAAGGGGAAUAGUUGGUUCAAAUGGAAUUUCUAGUUUUAUUCUUUUUAAGGAAUCUCCAUACUGAUUUCAAGGUGGUUGUACUAGUUUAUAUUCCCAUCAACAAUAUAGAAGGAUUUCUCUUUCCCCAUAGCCUUACUAGCAAUUGUUAUUUGAUUUCUUGAUGAUGGUCAUUCUUUCUGGAGUAAGAUGGAGAGACUCAAUGUUGUUUUAAUUUGUAUUUCUCUAAAGGCCAGAGAACGGAAGAGUUUUAAUUAAGAUGACAGGCCAGGGAUGUAGCUCAGUGGCACAGCACCUGCCUGGCAAGCACAAGGUCCUGAGUUUGAUCCUUGGUACAAAAAACAAAACAAAAUAAAAACUCACAAUUAUGAUAAUUAAGAUAGUGACAUGUAAUUUCUUUUUGAAAAAAGAUCACUCUACAUGCAAUGUAGAAUAGAAAAUAGAGGAGAUAAAAUUAGGCAUGGUGGCAUUAGCCUAUAAUCUCAGCACUUAGAAGGCUGAGGCAGGAAAAGUAAGAGUUCAAAGCCAUUCUGGAUACAUAAAGAGACCUGGUCUAAAAAACAAACAAACAAAUAAACGGUUGGACAAAAAAAAUCCAAAACUUCUAGGAGAGAGGAGAUAUAACCUUUAGGGUAACAAGACCAGGUGAGAGGCAGAGAUAGCAUAGUUGGGGAAAAGGACAAUGGAUAUGGAUUUCAUUGGAGGAAGUCAGUAAGACUUCAUUAAUUGGUUUGAAGUUGGGGAGAGAGUAGGGUGUGCUGGAUCAAACUGCCCAGGGAGAAUGUAUAGAAUGGGAAGAUAGUGCACAGGAAAUGAUCAUUCUUCCUGUUAGCUGGCCCUUGGAAGAUGGCUAAGACUUUAAAAGCUUUUUUAAAAACUUUUUUUCUAACCACUGUCCUCUCAUCCAACACCAUUAUUAUAAAAGUUAUACAUUUGGACUGAGGUGUAGAUCAGUUGGUGAAGCUCUUGCCUAGCAUGUGUGAGGCCCUGAAUUUGAUCCCAAGCAACACACACACACAGUUACACAUUUUUAUUGUGCAAAUUUUGGAACACAGUAGUCUUUAAGACUCAAUAAUCCUAUACAUCGCCAUUAAAUCUCAUUAUAUAUUGCUCCAGUAUUUUACUAGCAGCUAGCUACCUACCUAAUAAAAACAAUUCAUAUUAUACACUAUUUGGCAUCCUGUCUUCUCAUAAUGUUUUAAUGUGGAUAUUUUCCUGAUGCUCUUCUUUAUACAAAACAUGAUUUUAUUAUAUUUUAUUUGCAAUGCUGGGGAUCAAACCCCAGGGCCUUGCACAUGCUUGUCAGCUGCUCUACCACUAAUUUACAUCCCCAACCUCAAAACAGGAUUUUUAAUGGCAACAUAUUUCAUUGUGUGAAAAUACCAUAGUAAUUUAAAGCUUUCUCUUUGUAGGACUUUGUCUUUUUCAACCUUCUUUUUCCUUUGUAGAUACUAUAUGAUGGGUAGAAUAAACUACAAGGAGUAAAAGUACUGGAUUAAAAUGUAUGAAUGUAUUUAGGGUUUUUAAUAAUUGCCAAGUUGCACCAUAGAAGAACUCUAUCUCUUACUAGUUCAGUAACAGAGCUCCAGGAGGUCAGGGAUUUAGGUCUAUGUUGAAAGGAAGUGAGGUCACCAUGAAAUGAGCAGCUUUGCCUCUACCACACCCUUCCCAACAUAAUGUUUUGCCUCACCACAGGCCCAAAAGCCACAGAGAAAACUGCCCAUGGACUGAAACUUUAAAAAUAGUGCAUCAAAACAAAUAUUUCCUU